GGCGGCGGCGGCCGCGGCGCCCGGGAAUGGCGGCGGUUUUGGAGCUGCUGCUGAGCGAGGAGGUGGCGGUAGGCGCCGUGGUGCGGUGGCUGCGGCGCGCGCCGGGACAGCGCCCGCCUGAGGAGAACCACAUCCAUGACAAGCUGGUGUCGCUCAGUUUGCUUCAGAAAGACUUUGUGCCUUUUCUACUGAAUUUUUUAAGGGAGCAGACCAGCCAGAUACUGACUAAUGGGCCCUCCACUCCUGCUAAAACUCCCAAUUCCAAGGCCCAUAGGAGUCAAAGGACAGGACCAGAAAGGAGAGCAGGCCAUGCAACUAGCAGCCGAGUGCAGCUCUUUUCCCAAAGGACUCCGGUGACCUCCUGCACCACAGACACCAGCUUUUCUCCUGCUGCUGCAUCCAGUGGCUCCUCUUCCUUUUCUGGGUCGAACCUGUCAAGCCCUUGCAGUGACUUCCCCAGCGUGGUGUCCAGUAGCAGCCCGAGCUUUGGGUACAGCCCUGUGCUCACCCACAGUGAGAAGCGCUCGGCUCAGAAGGCCAACCUGGGGAGCUUCCUCACUGCUGCACCAGAGGCCUUACCGGCAAGGCGAGGCAGGAGGAAGGGCAGCAGCUCUGUCAGUGCCUCUGGCCGGCAGGUUGCUCGGGACCUGGGACGUUCCCUGGCCGAAGAGGAAGAUGGAAAGAAUGAAAGUGCAUCAUGGAGUGGAGGGAGAAGGAAGCGGAAUGAAGUGCCUCUUGUUACUGCUAGAUCCCCUCCCAGCCAGCUAAACCUUAAUAAUCUAGAGGAGUUCCCACCCAUGGGUACUGCCUCUGGCUGGACAAACAAAAGCAAGCCGUCAAGGCGAAUCAACCCAACUCCUGUGAGCGCUGAACGCCCACUUUCAAAGCCAAAGAUGUGCUUCACUUCAACGCCUGUCAGCCAGUCUCCAGCUGCACGAUUUUUGUCUGGGUCAAGCCCUGAGGCCUUUACCACUGUGCAGGAGGGAAACUCAACUUCUGUGAUAAGCAGCAGCCUUCAAGAGGAGAGGGAGAUGCUGAAGAAAGAACGAUGCAAGUUGCUGCACCAGGCAUCUUCUCCUGCAGGGAUAUCUCCCGAUCCUGGGACUCCUACUAAGCCCACCUACACUCGCAGUGCUAACCUUCCUGCUGAAAGCCAUCUGGUGACCUGCGCAGAUCCUGCAAAGGUUUCCUGCAAGAAACAGUUGGAGUGUCUGGCACAGCUCUACUCAUCAUGUAUAGCAGAAAACCUGGUACCAAAUAUUUUUCUGGAGCUUUUUUUUGUUCUGCAACUGUUAACAUCUAAAGGAACUUCUGCUUCAGAGGAAGAAGAGAGUGACCUUGAAGUCAGUGAAGGAAGUGAAGAUGCAUCAGGGAGACAGCACUUCCGAAGUGUGCACAAUUGUGUUUACUUUGCUGUUCAAGUCUUGGAUUAUCAAUAUGAAAUUAUUUCCCAUUUAGAAAAGGGGACACUGAAGUUCUUGGCUGAAAAUGAACGGAUUGCAUCUUUUUCUCCCACCCUGCAUGAGAGGCUCAAGCAGGCGUAUGAAAGCAGCACAGCCAAGGUGUCUCUGCUGCUGCCGUGCUCUGUGCAAUCUGUUUCUUUCCAGCCAGAAACCGACAAUCGCUCUAACUUUCCCACUGACAGAGCAUUUCACAUAUUUAAGAAACAAAGGGACAUCUUUUAUGAACUGCUGCGUGAAUGGGAGGAUAACCAUGAAAAACCUGGCUGGGACUUCGAAAGAGUUCUGGGCAGCAAGAUCAGGGCCAUGAUGGCUCACCUGUCUGCAACCUGUAACCACAGCCAUUUUGCCAGGCUCUUUCAGAAGCAGCUCACCCAGAUGUGUAAAGAUCCUAUUGGUGGUGGUGCGAGCUGGGGAGACACUCCAGACCAGGAUGUCCUUAAUAUGCUGGGUCCUGAUAAUCUGAGCCGUCUGAAGAGGUUGCAGGAAAGAUUUGUUGUUCCUCAAAGCAUCAGGGGACCUUGCCCACCUCCUUCGUUCCCAGGGUGCCAGCAGUUCUUCAGGGACUUCAUCCUCAGUGCAGGAAGUUACCAGUUCAAUCAGCACCUGGUGGAUAGCCUGUGCCUGAAGAUACUUGAGCUAGAUGGCCUUACUCUGGUGGAGCAUGAGCACAGUGAUGGGGAAGCAGAUAUGGAUGAACAGGAUGAAAAGAAGCGUUUCACUGUGGUACUGUUAAGUUUGAGACUCCUUGCCAAGUUCCUGGGCUUUCUUGUGUUCUUGCCAUAUCGCACUGUGGAACAACCUACUAGAGACCUGCAAGACACUGCAGUAGCAUUGAGGAACCAAACUUUGCCUGUACUGGACAUAUUGAAGCUUCUGAGACGAUCCAUUAGGAAUCAGCGUUCUGUCCUCACUAUUCCUUGGAUCGUGGAGUUUCUUUCCCUUGUGGAUCAUAUCGCUCCUUUCCUUGAUUACUAUAGGAAGGUAUUUUGUCUUUUGCUGCAGAUAUACAGGCUAAUGGUCCUUUCUGAAGAUAAAGAGAUGAGUUUCCUGAACAAACUGCUGAUCCUUGCAGUUCUGGGUUGGCUUUUUCAGGUUCCAUCGGUCCCUGAAGAGUUGUUUUUUGCCACAGAUGUCAGGCAGGAGGGAUUGGUGAUGGAUACUGUGACAUCUGCUCAAGCUUUGGACUCUGUGCCCUUGGUGGAUCAGCAGUUACUUUAUACCUGCUGCCCCUAUCUUGGAGAGCUGCGGAAACUACUUGCCUCUUUUGUGGCUGGUAGUGGAGUAAAAAAUGGUGGCUUUAUAAGGAAAAUCACUCCAACAGCUGCAGAGUCCUUGGCACCAAAGACUUCCAUUACACAGCAGAAACUGCAGGUAGAGCUGGAACAGGCCUUCUUCCACAACCAGCCUCCCUCUCUACGGAGAACUGUUGAGUUUGUGGCAGAGAGAGUGGGAUCCAACUGUGUUAAGCACAUCAAGGCAACACUGGUAGCAGAGCUGGUUCAAAGGGCUGAAGUCAUGUUGCAGGAUAAAGUGAAGGAGGAGGAUGCUAAUCAUGAUAAGCUGCUUGAAGAGGUGUGCGCUCAUCUGUAUGAUGAAGGAGCCCAGGCACUUAUUAAAGGCAGAGAAUUUUGCAAAAAGAAAGGUCCUGAGGCAGUAAGGGUCUUACUGCCAGAAGAAACGUCUGCAGCAGUUUUGAGUAGUGCAGAAGACAUAGCAGUGGAGCUGGCUACUGAGAAGGCCUGUGGCUGGCUUUCUGCCAACAUUGCAGCACUGAUUAAAAGAGAAGUGAAGGCAACAUUAAACAGAAUGCUGAAAGUCCCAGGACUUCCCUUGCCCCAUGAGGAUGCUCGGGAGUUGAGAAAGGACUGCUCUCCUGGUUGUCUGCACCGUGCACCAUUUCCCUCUCAAAUAAUCAAUGAGAUUAAGGAUGUGCUCUGCGUCGCUGUGGGCCCACGGGAUGAAGGGGAAGUGAUUGACCCUGGCUGGCUGGAGUGCUUGCUGGGAAGACUGAGUCAGACGCUUCGGUGCAGAAAGUUUGCAGGGUGGGGACAAAGAUGCAACUCUUGCUGUGUUUUUCAGUUCAUGUGUCCCACAUCAGAACAGCAGCUGGCAAAGUGCACGGUUGAGUUGGCUUCUUUGCUGGUUUCAGGUCGUGUUCCUCUCAGUCUUGGGAUCAAGCCCCCAGAGAAGAGCUCCGAGAGGCUCCGAGUGAAGAAUAAUCCCACAUAUGACCUUCUGAAGCUGCUGCUUUCUGUCUGGAAGGAGGAUUUUGGGACACCUGUUCCUGUGCAGCUGAUGUUCAGCAGGAAGAACAUUGGCUAUCUUGCGGAAGUGAAGCAGCAAGAGUGGGAUUUGUUCCAUUUCAUCCUUCGUGGUCUUGUAGAAUGUGACCUAAUGCAAACCAGUGAAAUAGAGAGUUGCUUGCGUAGCCUUGAAGAGCUCCCUUGGCCCUCAGAUUUCUUAAAAGCUCUGGAAAGCGUUUCCAGUUUAUUUCUAUCGGAGCAUCUUAUAGAAGAGCCCAGGAGUAACCCCUGUGACCUGACCAGACACUCUCUAGCAACAGACCGUGGUCAAACCAGGAAUCAAGUCGAAUGGACAAGUCCCUUUGUGAAGCAGGGGGAUUGCUUCCUGGUGACUGGCUCGUCUCUGAACUGAAUGUGAUUUCUUGCCAGGGGAGGGAAAAGUAAUCUACGUAGUUCCUGGGUGUCUCACAUUAAUUAUCCUUGGUGGCUUUGGGAAGCCAGGCACCUGACUCUGCAGCCAAGCCUUGCAAAGAAGCGUGCAGCACUCUGGGCAAGUAGGAGACCGUCGUCCUUUAUCACAAGCUAACCUUUUUGGCUUCAUCCAGGUAAGCGUUCACUGAGUAGAAGACCUUCUCCUUCACAUGUAAGUACAGUUCCAGAUAGCUAUCUUAACUGGAGCAAAUACCACAGGGCAUUUUUUUCUUGUGUAGAAAAUACAUUUUAUUGUGGAUAUGAAAAUAGCAAUCUUGAUUAAGAGCAGAGAUGCAACAGCAGGUGGUACAGAUGCUUGGUCUGAUCAUCUACUGCUCAGCAGUAAAUUGACAGGAAGUUGGGUUUUUCCCAUUGUAGUUUAACAAAGUAGAUGAUGUCUGCUAAGUUUUAUUUCUUCCUUCCCAACAAACCAUUACCAUACAUUAACAGGUACCAAAAAAUGUUAUAUUUGCAAAAGAAAACAUCCAUAUAAAUAGGCUUUUUAGUAUUAAUUGACAAUUGUAUUAAAAAAAAAAAGUUACAUUAAUACUGAUAAAAAUAAAAAUUAGCUUUGGUAGCAUAUAAAAAUGUUUCAAAACAAGCAUAUAUAAAUAACUUAAUUUGUAAACAUAGAAAAACCAAUCUUAUGUAUAUAUAAAAAUAAACAUCUGAUGCACUGUACAAUAAGACAUUAUCCUUCAUAGGCACUGGUUUCAUUGACACAGGAGUCCCCCUAGAUGGUUUUCCUACAAAAACUGCUUUAACUCUAGUGCCGUGUCCAAAAUAAAAGGGAAAAAAAGCGAAGCACUGAGCACAUCUUUUGUGGACUGUCUGAAGGCCACUCAUCUCCUCCUGCAAUCCCUGCUGGAAGCAGCACUGGUGACAGCCAAUAAAUACACCUUGCUGCAGUUCCUGCUCACUUUUUCUAGGGUUUUAAUGUAUUACCUUGUUCAAGCUUCUUUGUUUUGUCUCCCCCCAGAAGGUACGACAGGCUGCAAAUCUGGACAGCUGCCUUUUGGUGUAGUUGCUGAGGCUGUGGAACACGUGCAGUGCUGCAGAUGAAGCAUACCCUGACGCAGCUUGGCAGGCUGCUAAGGAAGGCUGAGCUUCACACCCCAGGAGAACGGAACCUGUGACCAAACACUUGAAGCUUGACAACAUGAGCAUUGGACAGAGCUCAAGAGCAACAAGAUGCUGUUGAAUAUUCCAGUUUCUUGAUCAACACUAACUGGCAAGGAAGUGUGCUAGUCGAGCAAUGACCAGAGGCUGCCGCUUAGCAAUGGAGCUCAGGAGCUGUGCUGGGAUAGCUGGGGCACCCAGAUCCACCUGUACAAGGCUCAAGGAUCCAUGCGCUGGGCAAAAUUUCCCCUCUCACCACAUCUUCACAAGGGUGAGGCAUGGAUGCAUCGUACACUGACUGAAUAGCCAAGACAGACAAGUUCUUCUGCAUGAAAGAAAGUGUAAUGAAGAGAAAUUCAAUUUUUUUUUAUGCAUGCAGUAUUGCUUUGUUUAUCAUGAGGCAUAUUUCUCACUAAAUAAGCUCUUUUUUUUUUUUUUUGUCGGAAUCCUGCUUGUUUGUAACUAGAACAUGCUGUAACAGUUGUGAAACAAGCACCUUUAGGCAGUAACAAAUGUGGAUUUAAUACAUAAUCCAUUUCUGUCAGAUGAGCAUAGCUUUUCUUCGUAUUACAGUUUUCUCUGGAACUAUGAGCAUAACCUUCCCUUUCUUCUGCUCUUGAACAGUGAGUUCAGACAUGUUAGUUGUUUGUUAGUCUCCUCUCUCUUAGAGAAAGCAAACAUACACUUACCUCUUUGGCUUCUACAGUAAUGCAGCAGAAAUCCCGUGGCUGCUGUAGGUAACACAGGGAGGUAUCAGUCACUAAAUACACUGCAGAAAAAGUAUCCAAAACCAACAACAAACAAAGGGGGAAUUAAUUAGGCUUUGGCAACUUUAACUUGUCACAAUUCCCCCCAUCCUUCAAAUGAACAAACAAAUCUUAUUUGAACUUGUUGCAGUUAAGAGCAAAGUUCUAGCUAACAUGAAGAUGCUAAUAUUAAGAUACUGUAAUUAAGAUGAUACUUUUUUGAAGUACUGUUAUCUUACACUUCUGCAGCAUAUGAUUAGUAAUAGCUGUGCUUUGAAAAAGUCUUGCAAAAUGGAAAUUCCUGCACUAAAUAACAAAACUGGUUAUUCAAGUCUGAAGAAACAAGAUAAGAUGACUGUACAUUUCCUUCUGGCUAAUCUGAGCUGAAAAGUCCAUAAUACUAGUUCUGGUCCGUCAAUGAUGCUGGUACUCACCCAGCUGAAUGUGGCUGGUUAUCUUCUUGUGUAUUCGAGCUGUGUUGAUGGAUCUAUCGUACAGAUGCCUUUUGCCCAGAUCUCUCACUAGACCCCACACAUACGCAAGAGGUCUUUCUAUCACUCCUGCUCCCAGAAAUCCAUGUUUCGUAGCUGAAGGGAAGACUUUGUAGUAAACCAGCACCUCUUUUUCUGUACAUUGGUAUCUGUCAAAGACAAACAGAAGAUAUUGGCACAAAAGAUGGUCAGCUGCAUUAAAGAUGUCCCAUUAUCAAGUCCUCCCAUAAACUUACUUCCAGCCAGCUGCUGCUUGGCAGGUGUAGAGAUUCCUCAGGUUAUGAGAGCAUGCUGCCAUUACCUUAGAAAACAGUGACAAAUGUACAUGUAAGUGAAAAUUGUCUAAAUUUUAAAAUAUGAAGUUUGCAUGCUUUCUUUCUGGCUACACAGCCAUACAGAUAUAUAAAGCCUGCACUGUGCAAACCCUUAGGAGCUAGAAGCGUUCAGCAUUAGCACCAGCUUCACUGUUACAGCCUCUUUCUUCCCACUGUUUAAAAUUGCUCGGCAUAUCCUGCUAUACCCAGCACUGAAUAUCUACUAGGAGUGCAGAAGAAUAAGGUUUAUCUCACAAACUUUCAGUACAACAUGCAGUAGAAGGUAGAGGAAUAAGCAAAAACUGUGCUUAUUUACUCACCUCAGUGGUAGCAUUAGCCAAGAUAUGUUUGGAUAAAUCUUGGUAUCCUUGUGUUGAUGAGGAGCUUACUGUAAUAGUUAAUCCAUGAGUGAACCUACAACUGAUGCUGUCUGAAGGAAGUGGUGGCUCAAUUCUGCUGUCUUCUGCGGGAGACAAAAUAGUCAUAGGACAGUAAUAAAAAGGAAAAUGAUAAUUGAAGUGGUGCAGAAGAUGUAGCGUUGAGCAGUUAGAGGGACUUCAACCCUCCGAAAAAAAGACUGUUAGCAUCCUUUGUCUGGACAGCCCACAUAUUGGUAAUUACACUGCAGUUACAUUUUGCGUUACUUAAGUUUAAACAUUAUAUAAGCUAAUAACCUAAAGAAGAAUAUGAAACAUGACUCUGGGAAUACAAAUUACAAUCCUAUACUCUUUGCAGCCCUAGUCCCGUGCUUCUUUGGUUCAUUCAAGACAUUCUCCUCCUCACAGCCUCUCCAAAGACUGUACAACAAUGCUACAACAUCAAAAGACCAACUUACUUAAGAGGAACUAAAUCUCCGAUUACUUUUCCAAGUUUUAGCUAGUGGUUGACAGUAUUUUUUUCUGAAUUCAUGUAAUGGUAAGACAGCUUCAAAAUACUUACAGUCAACACAGAAACAAGCAGAUGGACAAACGCUUUACUUACCCAGUGUUGAAUCCUUCUGUAGUUGCUCUAUCAUAAAAAGCUGACUGUUUCUAACAGCUGAACGACCUCGUGUGUCUCUUGAAAGCAAUGCACUUCCAGAAGAAAACUGGUUAAGGAAAGAGCAGAAGUGGGGACUUUUGGCUUGAACCAAGAAAAAUAAAUUGUUACAUUAUCAAGAGGAAUAUCCAUAACCAACCUGCCUUUAUGAAACUGGAAGCUUGACUUUAUGAUAGGUUAGUUCCUUUGCCUUUCAGCUGGUUAUGAAAUGAUAGCUCAACUCAAGAAGUUCAGCAGACCAAGUAUGACAAGCUAGCAUAGGUGUACGCUCCAAAAAGCAAUUUAAAUUAAGUUCAAGUCCAUGCAUGCAUCUCUCUUCAAUGAAGAAAGCACAUUGAAAAUACUAGAUCCUGGCUUAUCAGAAAAAAACAUUCCUUACUGCUAAAAUGUGUCACAGUGGCAUCGCUGUCAGCAGUAACAUCAGCUUUUACUUACAAGUUAAAAAAAAAAAAAAAUCAGAAAAAUGCAAUUAUCACAGUCCUUUGCAGUACAUGUAAAGGCUUCCUCCUUGCCCAUGUAACCCAUCUGUGUGUUAGUGACACAGCUAUCAAGCACGACAAGUUCGUGAGAGAAUAUAAACCACCUAGAAUGUGGUUUCUGUCCCUGUUAUCUCUCCGUUACUGUUAACGCAUUAGGGGACAUUGGUCUUGUAAGACAUUUGUUUCUCACCUGUCCUUCCCAGCUGCUGAGUUUACUUGCAGUGUAUGUAGCAGUAUUGCUGCUGUUGUAACCUGAUGUUGGGCCAGAGGAUAGGCUGAGGCUGGAUUCUGUACAUAAGGUGCUUGUACUUGCAAGAGUCUUCAGCCUUGCUUCCUCCUGUAAUAGAGAUCAGAGCAUCACAAACUCAUACAGCACUUAGUCAAAUCAGUAACAGCACUGGAAGAUCACAGGAAUAAUACAAAGUCCAUUUUCUUUCAAGGAGUGUUGACAAAAGCUGUUAUCUUUUGCUUCAUACAGAAGGUAUUUAAUAAGCAGGUUCAUUUGAAACUGUAAGAUUAUAUGAGCAAAUCAGUGCAUCAGUCUAAGAAAAUGUGGAUAACUGCAGCUUCUGACAUUGUUCCUUUGCUACAAGAAUGCGGGCUUUCAAACCAAUUCCUGGAUGUCUUAAAGGGGAAAGGAAGUUUAAAAAAAAAAAAUAAAAUCUUUUGUCAGUCCCA